rnacentral:rRNA from 1 species
AUUGAACGCUGGCGGCAGGCUUAACACAUGCAAGUCGAGCGGAGCGAGGGUGCUUGCACCUUAGCUUAGCGGCGGACGGGUGAGUAAUGCUUAGGAAUCUGCCUAUUAGUGGGGGACAACAUUCCGAAAGGGAUGCUAAUACCGCAUACGCCCUACGGGGGAAAGCAGGGGAUCUUCGGACCUUGCGCUAAUAGAUGAGCCUAAGUCGGAUUAGCUAGUUGGUGGGGUAAAGGCCUACCAAGGCGACGAUCUGUAGCGGGUCUGAGAGGAUGAGCCGCCACACUGGGACUGAGACACGGCCCAGACUCCUACGGGAGGCAGCAGUGGGGAAUAUUGGACAAUGGGGGGAACCCUGAUCCAGCCAUGCCGCGUGUGUGAAGAAGGCCUUUUGGUUGUAAAGCACUUUAAGCGAGGAGGAGGCGCUCUAGGAUAAUACCCUAGAUGCGUGGACGUUACUCGCAGAAUAAGCACCGGCUAACUCUGUGCCAGCCGCCGCCGUAACAC